rnacentral:sRNA from 1 species
GUGGGAAUUGCAGAGGAUUGUGGAUGCCGUCGUUGCGGAGGUGCAGAACAAAAAGACCGUGAAGCAGUAAGAUCAGUUUAUAGAAGCUGGGGUAUAUGGAUGAUUUCUGAGCAUGGAAAGGCAUUCGUUACAUGAUUUCGAUGUUUUGGAACAAUGAUCUACCGCUCCUAUUUGCUUUUUGUCUUUUCUCGAGAUAUUGCUUUAUAUCUUUGGUUCUGUUAAUCAACAGUCCUUGUCGGACUCAACCUUUAUCAUGACACUCGAAGUUCCAGCCAGUUUUAUCACUUAUGCAAAGAGAGUUUUGCCAGCCCGUUUCUAAUCAUACAUCAUGCG